CGGCGGACGGGUGAGUAACGCGUGGGUAACCUGCCUCAUACAGGGGGAUAACAGUUAGAAAUGACUGCUAAUACCGCAUAAGACCACGGUACCGCAUGGUACAGUGGUAAAAACUCCGGUGGUAUGAGAUGGACCCGCGUCUGAUUAGGUAGUUGGUGGGGUAACGGCCUACCAAGCCGACGAUCAGUAGCCGACCUGAGAGGGUGACCGGCCACAUUGGGACUGAGACACGGCCCAC
rnacentral:rRNA from 1 species